ACAAAAUUAUGCUGAAUAAGAUGCAAAUAAGUCAGAUGAACAAUAAACGCAUCAAAUAAAAUUACUGUGUAGCUGAUGUCAUUGAGUUGGAUACAACAAUGGAACCUCCUUGAAAUUUCUUAGAUUGCAACAGUGUGGAAGGUAUGGUAUGUUGCGUAUAUGCAGAGAAUAAUCAAUUUUCCUUUUCCUCGAGCAUCAAUUUUUUUAAUUCUCUGGAACACUUUAUCCUUAGAUUUGCAAAUUUGGUGAAAAACGAAAGUGGGGGAGUAAGAAUGGUGAGCACCCAAUCUCCAUGGAAGCUUCAACCAAAACAACAGUGAGAACACAGUUGAAAAAUUAGAGAUUUUGGCAACCUAAAAACUGAAUUAAAGGGAAGAAAAGANN
rnacentral:lncRNA from 1 species